AUAUCUCUCUGUACGGGAAGGAUGAGAAGCUUCGACUAAGGUUCGAUUCGAGCGUCAGCGAGAAAGCGUUGCC
rnacentral:sRNA from 2 species